UUCAGCCUCAAUAAGUUCUUGCUAAUUAUUUUAACAUUUCAGGUUUAGGAAACCCAAACCCAGUGUUUGCUAACUGCUCUUUUCCUUGAUUUGUGUGCCCUCUUACGUUACAGGGGAAGUUGGGGCCAUGUGGUUCUGAUUCAUUUUUACUUAACUCGUGAAGACAUUGUUUCAUAAAGGCCAUUUGAUGUCCAAAGAUUCUGCUCAAAGUUUUCUUCCUCAAACCAUGGGGCCAGGAGAGCUGCACAGUCUAUGACAGAAAGACAGAAUCAUCAGGAGGCCUGGAACUCACUCUUCUUACCUCUCCUGCCCUGGCUUACUUUCAGGAGGGUGAGCUAUCUGGAUAGAGAUAACAGUGUUUCAUGGAGGACUGAGAAACUGCAUGGACAGUGGGAAGACACCCAACACAGAGGAAACCCUUCUGUUGCCAGCAGCACGGUGGAAGUUCUCCUGCUGUUUUACUUUAGAACACCAAAUACCAAAAGUUAAAGCUCUUCUAAAGGAAAUGGCCCAAGAGUUAGCAUGCACCAACAAUUAAUUUUUAAAAUUUAUUUAUUUCUACUUUCUUUUCCUUUUCAUAACUCACCGUUGUUGCUGGAGUCUAGGUCCUCAGGUAGAAGUCCUGUCAGCUGCCCAAGUCUCCAGAAAGCAAAACAAAACUCAAGAAGGAUUUUGACCACAAUCAGAAAGCAAGUAGCUUAUGAAUCAAAAUAACAAGACCUUACAGUAAACCAGUUUAAGUGAAAUGAUAACAUUUGUUGGGCGGAUACUCUGCAACAGCCAAGAGACACAAAAGUGUCCAGAGGCUGCUGAAGAACUUGAACAUUUUUCUCUCCCCUAAAAGGCUUAUUUCCCAAAGAACUCGACCCCUGCCCCCUGUGAGUGCAUACAUUCAUGUGUGCACGUAUCUGUCUGUCUGUCAUGUCUACCAGUCUAUCCAAACAUCUUCUAUUUAUCAUUUAAUCUUCAGGGAGUAGUCUGGGCUCAGGCAAAGCACCCACUGAACACAGGUCAAGAACCAUCAGUACAGACAGGUGGAGUCAGUAGAAACUGGGUGUCCCUUUCCUUGGCAGAAU
rnacentral:lncRNA from 1 species